ACCAAGGAGUCAAACGCUUGAAAGUCGGAGGGCUCGCAGUCGGACACCAGGGUGCGAUGAAGGGGAUGGCCGUGGCGGCCCCUGCCGAGGUGGGAUCCCACCACCCUGUGCGGCAAUGGUUGCACCACUGGCCCGUUUCGAAGGCCCCAUCUGGGAGGUGGAGCAUGAGCAUGCAAUAAGACCCGAAAUAUGGUGAACUAUGCCUGGGCAGGGCAAAGGAAAGUAUGGUGGAGGUCUGCAGCAGUCCUGACAUGCAAAUCUGUCAUCUGACCUGGGUAUAGUGGCGAAAAACUAAUCGAACCGUCUAGUAGCUGGUUCCCUCCAAAGCUGGCUCUCGUCACGAACCCUUCACAGUUUUAUCCAGUAAAGCGAAUGAUUGGAGGUCUGAAAUGAUCUCAACCUAUUCUCAAACGUUUAAUGGGUAAGAAGCUCGGCUCGCUGGCAUUGAGCCGGCAUGGAAUGCGAGCACCUAGUAGGCCACUUUUAGUAAGUAGAACUGGUGCUGCGUGAUGAACCGAAUGCCGGGUUAAGGUGCCCAAUGCCAACGUUCAUCAGACCCCAGAAAAGGUUUUGGUUGAUAUAUACAGCAGGACGGUGACCAUGGAAGUUGGAACCCACUAAGGAGUGUGCAACAACUCACCUGCCGAAUAAACUAGCCCUGAAAAUGGAUGGCGCCGGAGCAUCUGGCCCGUCACUGGCACUGAGAGACCAUGGUGACUAGGCUGCAAUGAGUAGGAGGGCCACCGUGGUGGGGGUGGAAGCCUGGGUGGAGCCGCCGCAGGAGCGGAUCUUGGUGGUAAUAGCAAAUAUUCAAACAAGAACUUUAAAGGCCGAAGUGGAGAAGGGUUCCAUGUGAACAGCAGUUGAACAUGGGUCAGUCGGUCCUAAGAGAUGAGUGACGUUAGGAAGGGAUGAGCGAUGUCCUUCGUCGACCUCGGCCGAUCGAAAGGGAGUCUGAUUCAGAUCCCAGAGCGGUGGAGAUGGGCAUUCAGUGCAGCAACGCAACAGAUUCCAGAGAAAGUGUUGCUGUUCCAGUGGUGUCCGGUGAGCUCUCGCCGGCCCUUGUAAAUCUGGGGGAAAGGGUGUAAAUCUCGCCAUACCCAUAUCCGCAGCAGGUCUCCAAGGUGAACAGCCUCUGGCG